rnacentral:misc_RNA from 1 species
GUUUCGUAUAUUAAUAGUUUCAAAUCUUAAAAUUAAUUACCUAGAAUUAACGGAAAAUCAGAAUUUUAUUUUUUAAAAUAUUAAAAAUUAAAUAAUUUUACGAAUUACCUUUAAAACGAAUUUUUCAACAAAUGUAAAUUCAUCCAUCUCAACGUGUUGCUACGUGACAAUAAUUCAGAACUACUUACAAUAAAAUUUUCGGACAUUAAGCAAAAUGAUUAAUUAUAAUCACAAAAUUAAUCAUUGGGGGAUUGAAGCUAAAUCACAGGGUAUUCAUUUGUUGUUAAAAAAGGUAUUCGUUAGUUAUGGUUUCAAUUUAGUAUAAUUUUAAUUUUGAUUAAAUUUAACAAAUAA